AGUUCCUGACUUUCACAUCAUCUUUGUACAAAUAUGUCUGGAUCUGGACUAACGUGUGCCGUAAUCGGAUGUCACAAUAACAGCAGAACGCUAAAAAUGUGGAAAAAGAGCGUAUGUGCGCUUCAUAGUCCACAGUUUAAAGAGGAUUGUCCUUGUUGUGUGCCCUACGGUGUAAACCGCUUCCCCGGCCGUGCUGAGGAUGAAGACAUUCGCAAGAUAUGGAUUAAAAACGUACACCGAAAGGACUUUGCCCCCAAACAAGUAUUCAAUGGUGUGUGGAGUACACUUCCCUGACGGCAGACCAACGCAGGAACACCCAUAUCCCAUAAUAUGGGAUAUGAAUAUAGUAAAGCACCAUCAUGUGGAAGACCACCCACAAAGAGGAGAUGUCUCCAGCCCCCAACAGAGAGACCAUGUGAUGAGCCUCCUGUGACAAAUUCUGAUACCGAAGUAGGGCAUAGCUUGGAGGAUAGUCUGUCUCCACACCAAUGUGAUGUUGGCACUCAGUGGCCAGAGCGUAGUGAUCAUGAUUAUUGUUCGAUGAAGUCAACAAAAGAUGCAAGCACACAAACAGAUCCUACACCAUCACUGUCAGCUCAUGACAUGGAUGAUAAAGUGUCAAAAUUUUACAUUGGACUAGACAUCAUCAGCUUUUGGCAACUUUUGAACACCAUCAUUGGCUUUCUUCCACAGUCGAAGACGUUCAAAUUAACAGUCCAUGAACAGCUACUGCUGGUCCUAAUGAGGCUUCGGCUUGGCUUAAUGUUCACAGAUUUGGGAUCAGCAGAACUACAGCCUGUGAUAUGUUCGCAAUGUGGAGAGCAACACUUUCCCAAGGGAAAAUCUUUUUUUUGGCUCCCUCGAGACACUCUGAAUAGAGUAAGACCCUCAAGUUUUCUUGAACACUAUCCCAAUGCAACAUGCAUCAUAGAUUGCACUGAAAUAUUUGUCCAAAGACCGAAGAACUUGGGGAAAAGAGCAAAAACAUACAGCAACUAUAAGCAUCACAACACCUGCAAAGUCCUCUAUUGCAUAGCCCCCCAAUGGUUUUGUGAUGUAUUGUGUCAAAACUGUUUGGUGCCAGAGCUAGUGACAUUUUUAUCACAAAAAACUGUGGAUUUCUGUCACAUUUGAUUUUUGGUGAUCAGAUUUUGACAGACCGGGGAUUCACAAUUGGAGAUGUUCUUCCUCCAGGAGUGACAUUGGCUAUUCCAGCACUUACACGUGGAUGUACACAACUAUCAGAACAUGAAGUCACAAGAACCCGCCGUCUCGCCAAUGUCCGAAUUCAUGUUGAACGUGCAAUAAGAAGGCCUACAUGUCAGCAUCAUCUUCCAACUUGUCAGCGAUAAUAUGCCCAAGAUAUUUUGUACUGCUUGACACACAGUGAUUGCCCUGACAGGUAAAACGUUGGAAAGACUUCCUGAACACAACACUUUUUUUGCAUUGUACUGUAUUUUUUUGCAUUGUACUGUAGGCCUACA